ACGUGACCCCGACCUUUUGCAAGGGAGGCUGGGAAAUCCAAGUCUUGGAAGCAUUGGCGUCUACUAUCGUUUCUGCUGCCGGUUUUACAGGUGAAGAACCCAAAAGCUGGCUCAAGGUCACCCUGUGAUGGCUUUUAAAUACUCACAAAGUGUUUGACACUCUUCAAAAGGUAGCACCUAACUCCCCUUGUCUUGAAUGUGAACCGGACCUAGAGACUCACUUCUAACAAAUAGAAGACAGUGAAAGUGAUAAUGUAUGACUUCUGAAGUUAGGCCAGAAAAGGCACAGCAACUUUUGCCCUGUUCUCUCUUGGAUGAUUCACUCUAGAAGAAGCCAGCUUCUAUGUCACGAAGAUGCUCAAGCGUCCUUGUGAAGAUGCCCAUGUGUAGACAAACUGAGGCCUCAUGCUAGCUGCCAGCACCAACUUGCCAGCCACACGAGUGGGCCUCUUGGAAGUCACCCUCCAGCCCCAGUCAACUCUUCAGAUGACUGCAAUCCUGGCCAAUGUAACUUGACCUCAAGAACAACUUGACUGAAUCAGAAGCACCAAGUCAAGAUGGCUCCCAAAUUCCUCCAAGAGAUAAGAGGCUCUUAUCGAUGUUUUAAAUUGUUAAGAGGAAAAGAAAUGGAGAGACAGGGCAGGAAGAAAAGAUUUCUGCUUCCCUGUUGUAGCAUAUUUGAUUGGCAGAUUCCUUUAGUGCAAACAGCUUCACCAGUGCCCAGGUCCUGGAGCGGCCAGCAAAACCCAGUAACCAGCAGGUCCUCCUGGCACUGACUCUUAGGCAGCAGUGUCAGCAGAGUGCCUCCAUCUCCUGCAGCUUCUCCAGCAUCCGGUACCUGCUGUGCACGUGGCUUCUCCAGCCUGAGGUUCCUGCGGCACUGACAGGUUCUCCAGCACCAGGCUCCUGCGGUAUGCGGGGGCUCCUGUACCCUGCCCAGGUGGUUUUGUCGUGGGUUGAACACCUUUGGCUCGACACAUCCCUGAGAAGAGCUCUCCCUGGCAUCUAAGGAGGCAGACUUCUGCAAGUGCCCCUGGCAUGACACCAAUGUGACCUUUCUACUCUCUGGCAAGCCACAGACUGUUCUCUUCAACAGGAUAUAGAUUACAACCUUGAGGUAGGAGGCAGAUAUCACUUUCUGGAAUGCUCUGUUUCAGCCUUAGUCUUGGGCACAAGGGCUGCUGCUGUGUCUGCUGUUCAUGUA
ensembl:lncRNA